AGCCAGUGUGGUGUGGUGGUUUGAGCAUUGGACUUCGACUCUGUAGACCAGGGUUCAAAUCCCUACUUGGCUA